GACGAACGCUGGCGGCGUGCUUAACACAUGCAAGUCGAACGAUGACGACCCAGCUUGCUCGGUCUGAUUAGUGGCGAACGGGUGAGUAACACGUGAGCAACCUGCCCUUCACUCUGGGAUAACCUCGGGAAAUCGGGGCUAAUACCGGAUAUGAGCUCCUGUCGCAUGGCGGGUGUUGGAAAGUUUUUCGGUGAAGGAUGGGCUCGCGGCCUAUCAGUUUGUUGGUGAGGUAGUGGCUCACCAAGGCGAUGACGGGUAGCCGGCCUGAGAGGGCGACCGGCCACACUGGGACUGAGACACGGCCCAGACUCCUACGGGAGGCAGCAGUGGGGAAUAUUGCACAAUGGGCGAAAGCCUGAUGCAGCGACGCCGCGUGAGGGAUGACGGCCUUCGGGUUGUAAACCUCUUUCAGCAGGGAAGAAGCGAAAGUGACGGUACCUGCAGAAGAAGCGCCGGCUAACUACGUG
rnacentral:rRNA from 1 species